CCUACGGGGGGCUGCAGUGGGGAAUAUUGGACAAUGGGCGAAAGCCUGAUCCAGCCAUGCCGCGUGUGUGAAGAAGGCCUUCGGGUUGUAAAGCACUUUCAGUGGGGAAGAAAGCCUUGGGGCUAAUACCCUCGAGGAAGGACAUCACCCACAGAAGAAGCACCGGCUAACUCCGUGCCAGCAGCCGCGGUAAUACGGAGGGUGCGAGCGUUAAUCGGAAUUACUGGGCGUAAAGCGCGCGUAGGCGGUCUGAUAAGCCGGUUGUGAAAGCCCCGGGCUCAACCUGGGAACGGCAUCCGGAACGGUCAGGCUAGAGUGCAGGAGAGGAAGGUAGAAUUCCCGGUGUAGCGGUGAAAUGCGUAGAGAUCGGGAGGAAUACCAGUGGCGAAGGCGGCCUUCUGGACUGACACUGACGCUGAGGUGCGAAAGCGUGGGUAGCAAACAGGAUUAGAUACCCGUGUAGUC
rnacentral:rRNA from 1 species